rnacentral:lncRNA from 1 species
CUAGACACUUAUCCAGUUCUGACUAUAUUUGCAUGUUUAGACGUAUAUAUCUGUGUUAUUCAUUACAUUUGUAUCAAUAUGAGAAAUUUUCAUUGGGCUUCAAAGUCCCACGACGGCGUCUAAACUAAUGAGCUUGGUACACAAAAUGUGGAAGAUCCAAUACCAAAGGGAAAUGGAGGCUUAUAGCAGCACACGUUGGUCAUAUGUUAAGUAUCAGCAAAAGAAACACGGUUAUGCCCAUUUCCAAGUACCACCAACCUAUGAAUGAAACAAGAAGAAAGUAUUUUCACUUUUUAUAACUUCUCAACUUGAUGAUUAAAGAAGAUGAUUACAUCGGUUUAUAUACAGAGACACUUAAACCUAGGAACCCUCUAGAUCUUUACAAAACCUUAUCUCUCCAGCUGUUAAAGCAUAAAGCAGUCAAUCACCUAAAGAUAAGAACAGCUCAAAUCUGUUUUGGAGAGGCAAGCUGUGCUCCUCUGUACCCUUGAGCGUUUGUCUCUUAUGUUCAAAACAUUACAGUUUAACAAUUAUCUAUUCUCUUUGGCAUUUCAUCGAACAGGUUGUCUACAUUCAGCAUAUCCGACACUAACUUGUUUAUCUAAACACAUCCUUAUCAGCCCAAUCACAGUCUAUCUCAUCUAACUUCUUCAGUUCCAGACCUAUGAUCUAAACCAG